UACGGAGGAUCCGAGCGUUAUCCGGAUUUAUUUGGUUUAAAGGGUGCGCAGGCGGGAUGUUAAGUCGGCGGUGAAAUUUUGCAGCUCAACUGUAAAAGUGCCUUCGAUACUGGCUUUCUUGAGUGUGGAUGAAGUAGGCGGAAUUUGUGGUGUAGCGGUGAAAUGCUUAGAUAUCACGAGGAACUCCGAUUGCGCAGGCAGCUUACUAAACCACUACUGACGCUCAUGCACGAAGGCGUGGGGAUCAAACAGGAUUAGAUA
rnacentral:rRNA from 1 species